ACCUUUUUAGUAUACUUCUAAAGUACAAUUGACUUCCAAUCAAUAAGUUUGUCACACAAAAAAGGUA
rnacentral:tRNA from 1 species